UGUAUGUGGGACUUGAGUUGAGACUCAAUUC
rnacentral:piRNA from 1 species